GGGUUGUGAGGUUAAGCGACUAAGCGUACACGGUGGAUGCCCUGGCAGUCAGAGGCGAUGAAGGACGUGCUAAUCUGCGAUAAGCGUCGGUAAGGUGAUAUGAACCGUUAUAACCGGCGAUUUCCGAAUGGGGAAACCCAGUGUGUUUCGUCACACUAUCAUUAACUGAAUCCAUAGGUUAAUGAGGCGAACCGGGGGAACUGAAACAUCUAAGUACCCCGAGGAAAAGAAAUCAACCGAGAUUCCCCCAGUAGCGGCGAGCGAACGGGGAGCAGCCCAGAGCCUGAAUCAGUGUGUGUGUUAGUGGAAGCGUCUGGAAAGGCGCGCGAUACAGGGUGACAGCCCCGUACACAAAAAUGCACAUGCUGUGAGCUCGAUGAGUAGGGCGGGACACGUGGUAUCCUGUCUGAAUAUGGGGGGACCAUCCUCCAAGGCUAAAUACUCCUGACUGACCGAUAGUGAACCAGUACCGUGAGGGAAAGGCGAAAAGAACCCCGGCGAGGGGAGUGAAAAAGAACCUGAAACCGUGUACGUACAAGCAGUGGGAGCACGCUUAGGCGUGUGACUGCGUACCUUUUGUAUAAUGGGUCAGCGACUUAUAUUCUGUAGCAAGGUUAACCGAAUAGGGGAGCCGAAGGGAAACCGAGUCUUAACUGGGCGUUAAGUUGCAGGGUAUAGACCCGAAACCCGGUGAUCUAGCCAUGGGCAGGUUGAAGGUUGGGUAACACUAACUGGAGGACCGAACCGACUAAUGUUGAAAAAUUAGCGGAUGACUUGUGGCUGGGGGUGAAAGGCCAAUCAAACCGGGAGAUAGCUGGUUCUCCCCGAAAGCUAUUUAGGUAGCGCCUCGUGAAUUCAUCUCCGGGGGUAGAGCACUGUUUCGGCAAGGGGGUCAUCCCGACUUACCAACCCGAUGCAAACUGCGAAUACCGGAGAAUGUUAUCACGGGAGACACACGGCGGGUGCUAACGUCCGUCGUGAAGAGGGAAACAACCCAGACCGCCAGCUAAGGUCCCAAAGUCAUGGUUAAGUGGGAAACGAUGUGGGAAGGCCCAGACAGCCAGGAUGUUGGCUUAGAAGCAGCCAUCAUUUAAAGAAAGCGUAAUAGCUCACUGGUCGAGUCGGCCUGCGCGGAAGAUGUAACGGGGCUAAACCAUGCACCGAAGCUGCGGCAGCGACGCUUAUGCGUUGUUGGGUAGGGGAGCGUUCUGUAAGCCUGUGAAGGUGUACUGUGAGGUAUGCUGGAGGUAUCAGAAGUGCGAAUGCUGACAUAAGUAACGAUAAAGCGGGUGAAAAGCCCGCUCGCCGGAAGACCAAGGGUUCCUGUCCAACGUUAAUCGGGGCAGGGUGAGUCGACCCCUAAGGCGAGGCCGAAAGGCGUAGUCGAUGGGAAACAGGUUAAUAUUCCUGUACUUGGUGUUACUGCGAAGGGGGGACGGAGAAGGCUAUGUUGGCCGGGCGACGGUUGUCCCGGUUUAAGCGUGUAGGCUGGUUUUCCAGGCAAAUCCGGAAAAUCAAGGCUGAGGCGUGAUGACGAGGCACUACGGUGCUGAAGCAACAAAUGCCCUGCUUCCAGGAAAAGCCUCUAAGCAUCAGGUAACAUCAAAUCGUACCCCAAACCGACACAGGUGGUCAGGUAGAGAAUACCAAGGCGCUUGAGAGAACUCGGGUGAAGGAACUAGGCAAAAUGGUGCCGUAACUUCGGGAGAAGGCACGCUGAUAUGUAGGUGAAGUCCCUCGCGGAUGGAGCUGAAAUCAGUCGAAGAUACCAGCUGGCUGCAACUGUUUAUUAAAAACACAGCACUGUGCAAACACGAAAGUGGACGUAUACGGUGUGACGCCUGCCCGGUGCCGGAAGGUUAAUUGAUGGGGUUAGCGCAAGCGAAGCUCUUGAUCGAAGCCCCGGUAAACGGCGGCCGUAACUAUAACGGUCCUAAGGUAGCGAAAUUCCUUGUCGGGUAAGUUCCGACCUGCACGAAUGGCGUAAUGAUGGCCAGGCUGUCUCCACCCGAGACUCAGUGAAAUUGAACUCGCUGUGAAGAUGCAGUGUACCCGCGGCAAGACGGAAAGACCCCGUGAACCUUUACUAUAGCUUGACACUGAACAUUGAGCCUUGAUGUGUAGGAUAGGUGGGAGGCUUUGAAGUGUGGACGCCAGUCUGCAUGGAGCCGACCUUGAAAUACCACCCUUUAAUGUUUGAUGUUCUAACGUGGACCCGUAAUCCGGGUUGCGGACAGUGUCUGGUGGGUAGUUUGACUGGGGCGGUCUCCUCCUAAAGAGUAACGGAGGAGCACGAAGGUUGGCUAAUCCUGGUCGGACAUCAGGAGGUUAGUGCAAUGGCAUAAGCCAGCUUGACUGCGAGCGUGACGGCGCGAGCAGGUGCGAAAGCAGGUCAUAGUGAUCCGGUGGUUCUGAAUGGAAGGGCCAUCGCUCAACGGAUAAAAGGUACUCCGGGGAUAACAGGCUGAUACCGCCCAAGAGUUCAUAUCGACGGCGGUGUUUGGCACCUCGAUGUCGGCUCAUCACAUCCUGGGGCUGAAGUAGGUCCCAAGGGUAUGGCUGUUCGCCAUUUAAAGUGGUACGCGAGCUGGGUUUAGAACGUCGUGAGACAGUUCGGUCCCUAUCUGCCGUGGGCGCUGGAGAACUGAGGGGGGCUGCUCCUAGUACGAGAGGACCGGAGUGGACGCAUCACUGGUGUUCGGGUUGUCAUGCCAAUGGCACUGCCCGGUAGCUAAAUGCGGAAGAGAUAAGUGCUGAAAGCAUCUAAGCACGAAACUUGCCCCGAGAUGAGUUCUCCCUGACCCUUUAAGGGUCCUGAAGGAACGUUGAAGACGACGACGUUGAUAGGCCGGGUGUGUAAGCGCAGCGAUGCGUUGAGCUAACCGGUACUAAUGAACCGUGAGGCUUAACCUUACAACGCCGAAGGUGUUU
rnacentral:rRNA from 1 species